UUAAGAAAAUCGGCGGUAAAAUAACAUCUGGAGGAAAUAUCACCUAAAUUUGAAUUACGCGCCAUUUUUUUUGACAGGUCACUUACAGGACAAGAAGUUAGCUUAGUUAACCUCAAAAAUAAUUUUUUUUUUGUAAGUUUUUGUUUUUUUUUUUGCAUUAGCACACUUUAUAAGUAUUUGUAGUAGCAUUCUUUGUUUAUUAUAAUAUGGGUGUAAAGGACGGCAUACUCGAUACUGUUUACCGGAAGGCUAAACCUGUACCCCCGGCUAAAGCAUACACAUUACUUUUUAUCCAACGGGUUUGUUCAGUUUUUUAAAAACGUUCUUAGCGGGAACUAGACAUGAUUUCGGACAACGAUCUUACGUUAAUAGGUUUGCUACCUAAUAAUAAUAGCUUUGUUACCUAAAGAACAUACAAAGAAAAAACACAAGCGUUCUAAAUGGGCAAAACAGUGGUUAAUAAAUCGACACGUUACUUCCCACACUUAUCUCAUAAAUAAAUUACGACUGGAACCUGAUGAUUACAGAAACUAUCUUCGUAUGGAUGAAAAUUCCUAUACGGAAUUGCUAGAACUUGUAACCCCAUUAAUUCAAAAGGAAGAUAGUUUGAUGAGGUUAGCAUCCUCAUGAGCGAUUAAGUACUACUUUGAGGUACUUAGCGACAGGGAGAAACUACGAAGACUUAAAAUUCACAGCCCGUAUCUCUGCUUAAUGUCUGGGGAGAAUGAUUCCCGAAACGUGCCAGGCAAUAAUUGAGGUUCUUAAAUAUAGAUUAUUAAGUUUCCAAAUUUAGAAUCAGAAUGGGAGCAGAUUGGACUCGACUUUGAAAACAAAUGGCAGUUUCCAAAUUGCCUCGGUGCCGUUGACGGCAAACAUUAUAAGAAUAAGACCACCUCCAGGCAGCGGAGCAUACUACUACAACUAUAAACAGUUUCGGUGUUGUAUUAAUGACAAUUGCAAAUAGUAAUUAUGAAUUAAUAUUGUUUGAUGUCGGUACAAACGGACGAGUAUCUGACGGAGAGGUGAUAAAUAACACAUCUUUUUACAAGGCAUUAGUAAAGGGUGCUUUGCAAUUAAUCAACGUAUUCAUUUACCUUAUGUAUUCAUAGCAGAUGAAGCUUUUGCGCUUAGAAAAGGUUUUUUAAAGUCUACUAUAAAGAAAAAGAACUGAAUACUGACCCGUUCAUACUUUAACAAACGUUUAAGUAGAGCUAGACGAAUUAUUGAGAAUGUGUUUGGAAUUCUUGCAAAUCGAUUUCGUAUACAUAUAUCAUACCGAAAUAGGAACAUCUGUCCGUCUGUGAAAAUAUAGAAACUGUGGUAAUGGCUACAUACGUAUUGCAUAAUUAUUUACGAAAUAAGAAUCCAUUCCAGUACACGGACAUAUCUACGGAUGAAGAAGCUAUCUUGGCAGAUCAACAGAUACUAUCAUCGCUACAAAAAGACAUGGAAGUAGACGUUGUCCUCAAGACGCAAAACAGAAUAUUUUAAAAAGAAUUAGUUGCGAAAAAUUGAAUUUAUUUUGUCAUUUUAAAAUAAACUGCUCGCCAUAAUAGGAGGGACACCGGCAUUUUUUUGAUGAUCUUCAAUAGAGUGCAAUACAUAAUAGAAAAGUAUUGGAAAGCACUUUUUAAAAAUGCAAGAAUAAAAUAUGGCAUCCGUAAGAAAAAACAAAGUUGAUGAUGGUCGCCAAAAAACGAAACGUCGUAAUAAAAAACUAAAAACACCACCAUGUAGCACGGAAAAAGUGGCAAUGCAAAAGUGCAAAUUAUCUUUAAAGCUCAGUAAAAAUUAAAAUUGAUUUUUCUAAAUGUCUGUUUUCAGAACUGCUAGGAAUUUUCUAUUUUUUUAAUGGCAUAUUAUUAGGCGCAAAAAUGCGCAACUUUGCCCUAAUUUAACCAUCUUCAUAUCUUCUAUAGCAACCGAGAUCUCAAUGCUGAGAGUCGAAUUUGAAACACCCUGUAUAUGUAGGUGGUUGAAAAUCAUCAAAAAAAUGCAGUUGUCCCUUUUAUUAUGGCGAGCAGUUUAAUAAAAAAAUAUCAUGUAAAAAGUUUGUUUUCUGAAAUUGAAUCCAAUGUUCAAGACCAAUAAAAAAUCAAAUUUCUAAAAUAAAAAAUUACCUCAC